AAGAAGUCAGGCCGGAUUAAGCCAUAGUACGGUAAGAGCUAUGCUGCCUGUGAGCCCCGUCUAAGGACGUAAAAUGAAGUCAGGCCGGAAGCCACGGCUUGAGCAAACCGUGCUGCCUGUAGCUCCAUCGUGGGGAUGUAAAAACCUGGGAGGCUGCAACCCAUGGAAGCUGUACGCAUGGGGUAGCAGACUAGUGGUUAGAGGAGACCCCUCCCGAAACAUAACGCAGCAGCGGGGCCCAACACCAG
rnacentral:lncRNA from 1 species